rnacentral:lncRNA from 1 species
GUUUCCGGGUGUGCGGGUGUGUGGCCAGCCUGCUGGGUGGGUCUGGUUGGCUGGGAUAUGUGUGGGGGGCUCUGAGACCACCUGUUGGACAGGGCUGGGAGGGAAGAGGUCAGCUCCACCCACCCAAGGCCAGGCCCCCUCUGUGGCCCAGAUCUUCCUGUGGUUGGGGGCAGCUGCCAGCGAGUGGAAGCAGGAGGCUGUGGCCUGGGGCCAGGAGUACCUGAAGACCCACCCGGCAGGGAGGAGCCUGGCCACACCCAUUGUGCUGGUCAAGCAGGGCCACGAGCCUCCCACCUUCAUUGGAUGGUUCUGCACCUGGGACCCCUACAAAUGGAGUGUGAGUGACACCUGGACUCCCCCAUCCCCACCCUAAUCCACAGGAGGGGGCCACCCUGGUAUACUGAGGGGGAGCCAUCACCCUGCCCAGGGACCUCCGGUCUGUGGAGGGAACCUGAUCCCUUUGUUGCCCCUCCAUCAAGCUCCCAUCCUGAUUCUUGCCCCUAGAACACCCAGUCCUACGAGGAGGUGGUGGCGGGUGACCCGGGAGCAGUUUCUACCAUCUCUGAGAUAACAGCCGAGAUCGUCAACUUCCGGCUGUCCAGAUGGCCAGGCAAUGACAGGGCAGGCCCGUUGGCCCUGCGGGCCCUCAAGAGCUCCGAGGACAUCUCAGAGAGUGAGCUGGAGCUGGGCCCCCGCGCAGGCACCGGCAGCCGGCGCACCGGCCGCAGCGCCAGCAGCAGCUUUGCAGCAGCUACCAGAGCAGCCCCCAAUCCCUGGGCAGUGGGGGCCUGCCCCGGGAACAGCUGAGGCACCAGGCUGUCGAGGACCUGCCGGAGGGCGUGGACCCGGCCCACAAGGAGGCCUAUCUCUCAGACUCUGAUUUCCAAGAUAUCUUUGGGAAGUCCAAGGAGGAGUUCUACAGCAUGGCCAAGUGGAGGCAGCAGCAGGAGAAGCAGCAGCUUGGCUUCUUCUGAACCCAGGCCCUGCCCUGCCAGUGCCACCCAGAUGGUCCAGGCGUGGGCACCCGCCUGCGGGCACCUCCGUACAAAUACCAGAGCCUGAGGAGGUCAGGCCCUGCCCUGCCAGUGCCACCCAGAUGGCCCAGGCGUGGGCACCUGCCUGCGGGCACCCCCAUACAAAUACCAGAGCCUGAGGAGGCCCUCCUGGCACUCCCUCCUUGGAGACUCCUGGUCCCUAAAAUAAAAG